rnacentral:tRNA from 1 species
UUAAUAGAAACCAAAUUAGAGGUAUAUCACUGUUAAUGAUAAAAUUGAAUUAAAUCCUAUUAUA